rnacentral:misc_RNA from 1 species
GAUGAAGAAACGCAGCGAAAUGCGAUAAGUAGUGUGAAUUGCAGAAUUCAGUGAAUCAUCGAAUCUUUGAACGCACAUUGCGCCCGCCAGUAUUCUGGCGGGCAUGCCUGUCCGAGCGUCAUUUCAACCCUCGAACCCCUCCGGGGGGUCGGCGUUGGGGAUCGGCCCUUUACGGGGCCGGCCCCGAAAUACAGUGGCGGUCUCGCCGCAGCCUCUCCUGCGCAGUAGUUUGCACACUCGCAUCGGGAGCGCGGCGCGUCCACAGCCGUUAAACACCCCAAACUUCUGAAAUGUUGACCUCGGAUCAGGUAGGAAUACCCGCUGAACUUAAGCAUAUCAAUAAGCGGAGGA